rnacentral:rRNA from 1 species
CUGCGGAGGGAUCAUUAUCGAGUUCCGCUCUUAUACCCUUUGUGACCAUCCCCCAAACGUUGCCUCGGUGGGCAAGCCGGAGCCCAGUUCCGUCGCCCGGAGCCGCCGUCUCGGCGCGCCACUUACCCGCCGUCGGCCCACCAAACUCUAUUUAAACGACGUCUCUUCUGAGUGGCACAAGCAAAUAAUCAAAACUUUUAACAACGGAUCUCUUGGUUCUGGCAUCGAUGAAGAACGCAGCGAAAUGCGAUAAAGUAAUGUGAAUUGCAGAAUUCAGUGAAUCAUCGAAUCUUUGAACGCACAUUGCGCCCGCCAGCAUUCUGGCGGGCAUGCCUGUUCGAGCGUCAUUUUCAGCCCUCAGGCACCGCUUGGCGUUUGGGGGCCCUACGGCUUCCGUAGGCCCCCGAAAUACAGUGGCGGACCCUCCCGGAGCCUCCUUUGCGUAGUAACAUACCCCCCUCGCCCUGGGAUCGGGAGGGAUUCCUGCCGUAAAACCCCCCAAUUUUCCAAAGGUUGACCUCGGAAUCAGGUCAGGCAUACUCCGCUGAUCUUCAGCAUAUCAAUAAGCGGAGGAA